UGUGGAUGAGACUACCUUGAUGCGGGAAGUUCUCCUCUACAUAUGUUUCUCUUAUUUGUUGAUUACUGUGGAAAUAUUAACCUGCACAAAGUGAGGAUGUCCUAUGAUAUUUUAUUGAGGGAGAAGUCACUUACAUGAGAAGCCAAGAAAGCUGAGAACCAAAGGUCUGCACAUUGCUCUCCAAGAUGUGACCAGAACCCAAAUGGAGAACAUCUCCUUCCUCCCAGCUCUUUUAACCCCCAUAUGUUCAACAUGCCUGUGACCACUGCUGCGGUGUUACACAUAUUUUUUAGAAGAUUGAAACAAUAAGAUCCAGUAGUUGUUUUAUUUGCUGCUCCUGAAUUGAAUUAUCAUCCCAGAACUUCAUUUUAUCAUUACCGAGUUAAAAAUUUCUUAAUGAAGAAUACUGCCUCACUGAGCCUUGCUUCAUCUGACAAUUAGAGGAAUGGUUUAAAAUUCCUGACGGCCAGACUACAUCUUAAAGCAUCCAGAGACAACGGUGGCUUUCACAGAAGCAGAGCAGGGAGAACAGGCAAGCACCAUGACUCCAACAGGACAGCAAAAAUUCUUCAUCACCAGCAGCUGAGUUGGAAUUCAUGAUUCCUGCAUAUAGCUUCCAAUUUAAAAAGCUAGAAAACCGAACGUUAAAGUCCUGAUAUUUUCCACCUUGUGAAAGCUGGAAAAACGAAUUUGAAACCUGUUAUGUAGACAACCUUAUAAGCCAAAGUAAACUCAACCUUCUAACAGAUUUCUUAUGAGAAUACUGAAUAAAUGUUUUUUCUCGUUUGUAAAAC